AAAAUCUGAAUUUUUCCUGCAAUCAUAUCUAUUGAAUGUUUAAAGUCAUUUUAACUUAACAACUGAUUUACCUUUAUAGCUGUUUGCUAUGAAGUCUGUGCUCAUGGAUUUUGCAGUAGUCCAAAUCAUUGUUCAUGUUACCAAGGUUACACAGGAAGACAAUGCGAAAAUCCUGUUUGUCAACCUUCCUGCCAACACGAUGGACAAUGUGUGAGCCCCAACACGUGUCAUUGUACGAACGGAUAUACUGGCGUUAACUGCAAUCAACCAAUCUGCAAACCAACCUGUAGAAAUGGGGGACUUGUACUCCGGGGAGAAAGUGUGUUUGUACUUCUGAAUACAGUGGAACAUCAUGCACCAUUCCGGUCUGCAACCCGCCAUGUAAGAAUAAUGGCACGUGUGUUGCUCCAAAUCAGUGCAUAUGUGAUGGAACAUACACAGGAAAUAAUUGCGAAACACCUCUAUGUUCCUACCACACUCCUUGCUUCCCCGGUAAAUGUGUUGAUAACAUUCACUGUCAGUGCGAGGAUGGAUUCAGUGGCCAAUAUGGAUUAGAUCUCUGCAAAAUAAUGUCAGCUUCUCUACACCCAACUAUUGCACAGUGUACCUCGUUCCUUGCUAAAAUUGAACGCACGGGACAGAAAAGGGAACUCUACAAAUACAUGUCAGAUUCAUCAGAACCGAACUCAACAAGGAUUGACACCAGAUGGGUGAACGAGAAAGAUUAUAACUUUGUUAAUGUACAAU